AAAAAUAGACUUUAAGAGCUUUCUAAAAAGGUAAAUCAUGUAUUUUUCUUUGAAGAGGUUGAUUUUAUAUGAUUUUUCAAAGUCGAGAUUCAUAUAUGAUUACAUAUUUGAAGUUACUUACUUGGGAUAGUUGAGUAGAACUAUGCUUAAGUCAUUGGUCAAUUCUUGAAUUGAUGGUUUAGUUAUUAAUUGUAAGCUAAUCUAUAUAGAAUGGAUUAGUUUGCUCUUAAACUUUUUCAACUUGAGAUAUCCCAAGAGAUAUGAUGUUACUGUUUGCUUUUAGUUAGUUAAGUCCAUAAAAGUAGAAUACUCAGAUUAGAGGAUACAACUUUCAAGCGAUAGAAGUUUCAUUCAAGAUUUAUUUCCUAUUUACUCACUUAUUAUCCAAUCUUACCUGGGAACCUCAUUAUAAUGAAGGUUCGAGUGGCAGUGUAGAAUGAACAAGCAAGGACUUCUAUUUCAUUAAGCGUAUCAGGUUAAGCUGUGAUGCAGAUGGUAGCAAGCAGAGCAAAGUCUUUGAUGUAUAUGUAUUAAACCAGGCUCAGGAUUCCAUGUCUUCAUACAUGUAAUCCACAUGAGUUAUUUCCGCUGCAACACUUAAUGUACUUUACUUUAUUGAUGUGUUGUACAGAUUUUAAACCAAUAGCUUCGAGAAUUAUGUUAGUUAGACAACUUGUCGUUGUGUAUUGUAAGUUGUCUACUCAUGAGUUUUAAAAGUGUUGCCUACGAUUAUUCAAUAUUAUAGUGAUUUAUUGUUAAACUUGGUUCAUUUUUAUUAGUGAAAUCUCUUUCCUUUUUCA